CCUACGGGUGGCAGCAGUUAGGAAUUUUGGGCAAUGGGCGAAAGCCUGACCCAGCAACGCCGCGUGGGUGAUGAAGGCCCUCGGGUCGUAAAGCCCUUUUCCCAGGGAAGAUGAUGACGGUACCUGGGGAAUCAGCCCCGGCUAACUACGUGCCAGCAGCCGCGGUAAUACGUAGGGGGCAAGCGUUGUCCGGAUUUAUUGGGCGUAAAGCGCUCGCAGGUGGUUCGAUGCGUCGUGCGUGAAAGCCCCCGGCUCAACUGGGGAGUGUCGUGCGAUACGGUCGAACUGGAGGCCAGUAGGGGGAUGCGGAAUUCCGGGUGUAGUGGUGGAAUGCGUAGAGAUCCGGAGGAACACCAGCGGCGAAGGCGGCAUCCUGGACUGGUCCUGACACUCAUGAGCGAAAGCGUGGGGAGCGAUCCGGAUUAGAUACCCCGGUAGUC
rnacentral:rRNA from 1 species